rnacentral:rRNA from 1 species
GACGAACGCUGGCGGCGUGCCUAAUACAUGCAAGAUGAGCGCUGAAGGUUGGUACUUGUACCAACUGGAUGAGCAGCGAACGGGUGAGUAACGCGUGGGGAAUCUGCCUUUGAGCGGGGGACAACAUUUGGAAACGAAUGCUAAUACCGCAUAAAAACUUUAAACACAAGUUUUAAGUUUGAAAGAUGCAAUUGCAUCACUCAAAGAUGAUCCCGCGUUGUAUUAGCUAGUUGGUGAGGUAAAGGCUCACCAAGGCGAUGAUACAUAGCCGACCUGAGAGGGUGAUCGGCCACAUUGGGACUGAGACACGGCCCAAACUCCUACGGGAGGCAGCAGUAGGGAAUCUUCGGCAAUGGACGAAAGUCUGACCGAGCAACGCCGCGUGAGUGAAGAAGGUUUUCGGAUCGUAAAACUCUGUUGGUAGAGAAGAACGUUGGUGAGAGUGGAAAGCUCAUCAAGUGACGGUAACUACCCAGAAAGGGACGGCUAACUACGUG